UUUUUUUUUGUUUUUUGUUUUUUUUUUUAGGGCCACAGCUGCAGCGCAUGGAAGUUCCCAGGCUAGGGGUGGAAUUGGAGCUGUAGCUGCUGGCCUACACCACAGCCACAGCAACACAGGAUCUGAGCAGUGUCUGAGACCUACACCACAGCUCACAGCAAUGCUGGAUUCUUAACCCACUGAGCAAGGCCAGGGAUCAAACCUGCCUCCUCAUGCUCAUGGAUACUAGUUGGGUUCAUUACCACUGCACAACCAUGGGAAUUCCUAGCUAUUUUAAACUCUCAGAAAUCCUGUUUCCUAAACUGUUUUAAAAUGGAAUAAUCAUAAUUUCUUCGUAAGACUGCUGUAGAAUGAAAUAAAAUAUUAAGUGGGACUUUCUAAACUGGAAGGCUGGAAAUGUCAUUACUCUUUUCCCUCUUUGCUGCUUCCUCAAUUCUUAGCCUAGUUGUGGCUACUGCUCAGGCACUCCAUACCAUGUGCUUCUGUUUGAAAACACAAGGUCUGGUUUAUAGUUGUUAAUGCUCAUGUUAUAAAGAGCAGAACUUAUAGCAUUAAACCUAGGUUAUAAAACGUGACUAACUCCUGGUUUUGCAUUCUCAGCAGGUCCAUAAACUUUCAGGUCUUUCCUCAUUUGUGAAAUGGCAAAAUCAAUUUGUGCCUUGCCUGUCUCUGAGAGUGGUUGUGUUGACUGUCCUGAGAAUAUAUAUGGGAAAGCAUGCUUUUAAAACAUGAUGACGAUGAUUAUUAGCCCAUCUGUUUGGCACACAAUAAGAAAAUAAAGGUUUAUAAAAUAUAUAUCAUAAAUUUACCUAGUCUACAAGGACUUACCUUUAGUAAACAUCUUCAAAUUGGUGUCUUCAGUAAAAACCACCCUCACUAAGAAUUUUCAGGACUCAGCGACAGUGUUACUCAGAGAGUUUCAUAAGAGAAGAUUCUUAAAAUCAUUUUACAUUUACAAAAUUGGAAAUUUUUUUCACUCAUUUGUGACUCUGAGUCCUAUGGCACACUAUUUUUUUUUCUUUUUAUGGCCACACCUGUGGCAUAUAGAAAUUCCUGGGCUAGUGGUUGAAUAAGAGCUGUAGCUGCAGGCCUACACCACAGCCACUGCAACACCAUAUCUGAGCCACAUUUGUGACCUACACCACAACUUGCAGCAAUGCUGGAUCCUUAACCCACUGAGUGAAGCCAGGGAUCAAACCCACAUCCUCACAGAGACUAUAUCGGGUUAUUAACCCAGUGAGCCUCAAGGGGAACUCCCUUUUAUUUUUAUUUAUUUUUCCUAUGGCAUACUUUAAAAUGUACCAAAAUGGGAGUCCCAGAAGGACAAAAUAAAGAGAAAAAAGAAAGCAUAUUCAGAGAAAUAUAGCUAAAAACCUCUCAAAUUUAAUAAAAACCAUUAAUCUACAUAUCCAAGAUCAAUAGAUUUCGAAUAAAAAAAAAAGUCUGAUAGAGCUAUAUUUAGACACAUAAUAAUCAAACUAUUGGUAAUCAAAGACAAAGAAAAUCUUGAAAACAAAAGAAGUGAUUCAUUACAUGCAAGAAACCCUGUAGAGCAGGAGGCAGUGGAAUGGCUUAAUCAAGUUGCUGAAAGAAAAACUAUCAACCUAGAACUGUAUAUCCAGAAAAAUCAUCUUUCAAAAAAAGGAAAAAUUAAGAACUUUUCAGAGAAACAAAACCUUAGAGAAGGUCACCAGCAGACCUUCUUUACAAAAAUAUUAAAAGGAAUCCUUCAGGCUGAAAUGAAAGAACACUAGAUAGUAACCUGAAUUCUCAAGAAGAAAUAAAGAACACUUUGGUCAGGGUAACACACAGCUAAAUAUGAAGACAAUAUAAAUGUAUUUUUUAUUUGUCACUUCUUUCUCCUGAUUAAAACUACAAUACUUAUAAAGCAGUGUUGAGAGCUUAUAAUGUUUAAAGAUGUAUAUACAUGAUAAUAAUAGAAUAAAGGAAGGGGAAGAAGUGGAUGUACAUAGGAAUGAAAUUUUUGUAUACUACUGAAGUUGUAUUAACUAGAACUAGAUUGCUAUAAAUUAAGAUGUUAAUCGUAAUCCCCAGGAAACCACUAAGAAAAUUACUCCAAAAAUAUAGGCAAAGAAAAACGACAAGAUAAUUAAGAUAGUAUACUAGAAAGUAUCUACAAAAGAAGAUGGUAGUAGAGGAACAGAGAAAUCAAAAGACAUAAGUCAUGUAGAAAACAAAUAGCAAAAUGGAAAACAUAAAUGCUGUCAGUAUUGACAUUAAAUAUAAAUGGAUUAAAAACUCAAAUCAAAAGGCAGAUAUUGGCCUUUUGAGUGGAUAAAAAUAACAUAACCCAACUAUAUUCUGCCUAUAGAAGAUACUUUAUUUCUUUAUGGUGCCAAUUUUAAAUAGUUUUAUUUAAGACACUGCAUUUUCCACUUAACAAUACAGUGCUAAUAAAGUGCAAUGUUAUUUCCUUUCCUUAUGCAUAUUCCAUAUUCAAGUAUCAAGAAUGCUCAGUUAUUUACUAUAGCAGCUCAACUUUACAACUACCAUGGAAUUUGCAACAAAUUUGGAUCCUUCAAUGUCAUGUGGAAUGAUGCCAAAUCUAUGCCAGGAUGAUUUAAUCAACCUCCUCAAUGGUGGGCCCAGAGUAGGUGCCACCAGGGAAGCCCCCAGGCAUUCCUCCUGGCAUGCCUCCUGCUAGAAGAUACACUUUUAGGGAGUUCCCGUCGUGGCGCAGUGGUUAACGAAUCCGACUAGGAACCAUGAGGUUGCGGGUUCGGUCCCUGCCCUUGCUCAGUGGGUUAACGAUCCGGCGUUGCCUUAUUGUAUAGCAUAGGGAACUCUACUCAAUAUUUUGUAAUAGCCUGUAUGGGUAAAAAAAUCUGAAAAAGGUGGAGAUAUAUAUAUAUUCACUUUGAUGUAUCUGAUUCACCUCACCAUACACUUCAAACUAAUACAACUAUACCCCAAUAAAACUUAAUAAAGGCUCUUAAUCUGUAUCCCCACAAAGUCAAUUCAUCAAGAAUGUAUAUAAUUAUAAACAUAUUUUUUCUCUGCCUAACAACAGAGCCUCAAAAUACAUGAAGUAAAAAAAUGACAGAAAUUAAGGGAUAAAUAAACAAAAUGGUAAUAGUUGGAGACAUCAAUACCUCACUUUCAACAAUGAAUGGAACUAUAAGAAGAUCAACAAGGAAACAGAAGACUUGAACAACACUAGGAACUAACUAGACCUAAGGGACAUUUAUAGAGUACUCUAUUUAAAAGAACAGAAUAUACACUUUUCUCAAGUGCAUAUGGAAUAUUCUCAGGAUAGACCUUAUGUUAGGUCAUGUCAAAUUUAAAGGAUUGAAAUCAUACAAAGUAUGUUCUCUGAUUAGGGCGGAAUGAAAGAAAUAAAUAACAGAAGGUAAUGCAAGAAAUUCACAAAUUGUGCAGAAAUCACACUCCAAAAUAACCAAUAAGUCAAGAAGAAAUCACAAGGGAAAUUACGAAAUACUUUGAGAUAAAUGAAAACAAGAAUGCAGUUCCCAUCGUGGCUCAGCAGAAAUGAAUCUGACUAGUAUCCAUGAGGAUGCAGGUUCAAUCCCUGGCCUUGUUCAGUGGGUUAAGAAACCAGCAUUGCCAUGAGCUGUGGUGUAGGUCAUAGAUGCAGUUCGGAUCUGGCGUUGCUGUGGCUGUGGCUGCGGCAUAGGCCAGCAGCUACAGCUCUGAUUCGACCCCUAGCCUGGGAACCUCCAUACGCCAGCAGGUGCGGCCCUAAACAAACAAACAAACAAACAAAAACGCCAAAAAAAAAAAAAAAAAGAAAAGAAACAAGAACAAAAUGUGUCAAAAGUUAUGGGAUGCGCUAAAGCUUAGAGGUAAGUUUAUAACUGUAAAUUCUAUAUUAAAAAAUAGAAGAGCUUGUUGUUCUAUUGUGGCACAGAAGGUUAAGGAUCUGGCGUUGUCAUUGCAUUGGCUUGGGUCACUACUGUGACUCGGGUUCAAUCCCUGGCCUGGGAACUUCCAAGUGUCAUGGGUGCAGCCAAAAAAACCAAAAAAAAACAAAAAACAAAAAACAAAAAAAACAAACCCAAAAUCAAUGAAAAACCUCAAAUUAAGUACCUAACCAUAAACCUUAAGAAACUAACAACAAUAACAAAAAAGAAGUGCAACCUAAACCUAACAUAAAUAGAAGGAAGGAAACAAUAUAAAGUUAAGCAGAAAUAAAUCUGAGAACAGAAAAAUCAAUGAGAU
rnacentral:lncRNA from 1 species